GUCCAGUGAUACAACAAGGCACAUAUAUACUACAGCUCCAGUUCUACUUGUUGUCAUCUGCAUGCAGGCAACAUCGACAACGUUAAACCCUUUCACGAUGCACACCAUUUUUCUGGCUGACAUCUAUUAGUUUUGAGAAUAGCAAUCAUGGAGCCUGCAGAUAGAGAAAAGAUAAAGAAGAACCUGGUAGAUCUCAAGAAAGAUCUGAUACCAAAGCACAUACUUGAUGAGCUGGUCCAGGACGGGACAAUCCAUCCAUCGGACCAUGAGCGCAUUCUAUACGAGCCGACGACGGCAGAUCAGACGACAAAGCUGGUACAAAUUUUAUACACCAAACACGGAUCCUAUCCAUCUUUGCACAAGUCCCUAGUGAAGCAUGGCUUCCAGCAUCUAGCCGAAUCCUUGGGGCCCCCGGAAGGUUCUAACCCAGGUUCUAAAGAUCCAAAAAUAUUUCUUAUGUCAACGUACAAGAUGAGUAGCGGUUCAAAGGUACCUCUUGGAGAAGUGAAAGAAGUGCUUAGAUCAUUCACAAGCACAGAAUGGACUUUGCUAGAGGUUGAACAACUUUUAAAACAGGUUUUCGAGUUUGUUGUUAUCGACAAGAGAGCAAAAGUCAAGAGGAACCGCGAUCGAUUGUAUCCUUUACUUGUCAAUAAUAUUCUUGUUGAUUCUUGGUUAUCAAUUGCUUCACAUUUAAUCCUUUGUGAAGAAGUCUUUGAUUAGAACUGACACUCCGUCGCAAUUUCUCCACUUUUCACGCGUAAUUCUCUUCUCAAAGUUAACCCUUGGGUUGGUAUCGGUAAUGCCCAAGUUAUGCUCCGCUUUUUUUCAUUUAUCUGAAAACGUAAUUAUCACAAUGUAAUGGAAUCCCUUAACUACAGAUCAGGACAAAAUGGUAUGCUCGGGAUAUAAAGAAAGUAGAAAACCUUUGUGCAUCGGUAGCAACACACGGUGAAGG